rnacentral:rRNA from 1 species
UUUGCACAAUGCNGCGAAAGCCUGNUGCAGCAACGCCGCGUGCGCGAAGAAGGUCUUCGGAUCGUAAAGCGCUUUUCGGGGAGAUGAGGAAGGACAGUAUCCCCGGAAUAAGGCUCGGCUAACUACGUGCCAGCAGCCGCGGUAAAACGUAGGAGCCAAGCGUUAUCCGAAUUCACNUGGGCGUAAAGCGCGUGCAGGCGGUCUGGUAAGUUGGAUGUGAAAUCUCCUGGCUCAACUGGGAGAGGCCGUUCAAUACUGUCAGACUAGAGGGCGACAGAGGGAGGUAGAAUUCCGGGUGUAGUGGUGAAAUGCGUAGAUAUCCGGAGGAAUACCAGAGGCGAAGGCGACCUCCUGGGUCGCACCUGACGCUCAGACGCGAAAGCUAGGGGAGCGAACGGGAUUAGAAACCCCGGUAGUCCUAGCCGUAAACGAUGUAGACUGGGUGUUGGCGGGGUAAAAGCCGUCAGUGCCGAAGCAAACGCGAUAAGUCUACCGCCUGGGGACUACGGCCGCAAGGUUAAAACUCAAAAGAAUUGACGGA